AGCGAACGCUGGCGGCAGGCCUAACACAUGCAAGUCGAACGAACCUUUCGGGGUUAGUGGCGGACGGGUGAGUAACACGUGGGAACGUGCCUUUAGGUUCGGAAUAACUCAGGGAAACUUGUGCUAAUACCGAAUGUGCCCUUCGGGGGAAAGAUUUAUCGCCUUUAGAGCGGCCCGCGUCUGAUUAGCUAGUUGGUUGAGGUAAUGGCUCACCAAGGCGACGAUCAGUAGCUGGUCUGAGAGGAUGAUCAGCCAUAUUGGGACUGAGACACGGCCCAAACUCCUACGGGAGGCAGCAGUGGGGAAUCUUGCGCAAGGGGCGAAAGCCUAACGCAGCCAUGCCGGGUGAAUGAUGAAGGUCUUAGGAUUGUAAAAUUCUUUCACCGGGGACGAUAAUGACGGUACCCGGAGAAGAAGCCCCGGCUAACUUCGUG
rnacentral:rRNA from 1 species